ACAACCCUGCAGUGUUCGACCACGGGCUGCAUAUUUGUGGACCCUACAAGCAAUCCGCAGGGGACGGCGACGCACCCGGCCGCGUGUAUAGCCGGAUGACCGUUCUGCGGUCAUUCACCGGAUCACACAACCCGGGACCGCUGUGCCCACCUGAAACUGCGGGUCUGCACAAACGCGGCUCGAACGGCAUCUGCGGGGGUUUU
rnacentral:other from 1 species